UCAGAGCGAACGCUGGCGGCGUGCCUAACACAUGCAAGUCGAACGUGAAAAGGGUAACCUGAGUAAAGUGGCGUACGGGUGAGUAACGCGUAGGUAAUCUACCCCAGAGUCUGGAAUAACCUGCCGAAAGGCGGGCUAAUACUGGAUAGAGCGAGGGAACUCGUAAAAGAGUUUUUCGGGAAAGGGAGGCUGCAAAGCCCCUUGCUCUGGGAUGAGCCUGCGUCUCAUUAGCUAGUUGGUGAGGUAAUGGCUCACCAAGGCGAUGAUGAGUAGCUGGUCUGAGAGGAUGAUCAGCCACACUGGAACUGAAACACGGUCCAGACUCCUACGGGAGGCAGCAGUGGGGAAUCUUGCGCAAUGGACGAAAGUCUGACGCAGCCACGCCGCGUGAGUGAAAGAAGGCCUUCGGGUUGUAAAGCUCUGUCGGAUGGGACGAACAUCUUUAAGGUGAAUAGCCUUAGAGACUGACGGUACCGUCAAAGGAAGCACCGGCUAACUCCGUGCCAGCAGCCGC
rnacentral:rRNA from 1 species